GCGGAGCAGCAGUGGGUUUGCGAGAUGUUUACUGGUGCCGACGAUGUACGUGCGCAUAUAUUCUGCUCUGAUAGAUUUUGCAUGUGACAACGGUUAUCUCUGCGUCGAGAAGGUUGGAGAGGAUAUCCCAAAGACGACAGCUGCGGAAUUCGAUGAACAUGACAGGAAUCUGCUUGUAGAAGGUGCACGGUGUUUAUAUAAAGCAGUGCCGAACAUGGAUGUGGGACGGCAUCUGGCACUGUACUUUCGAAAAAUAUCUGGUUAAGUAAGUGCAAGUGGUAUGAAUAAAGUACUAAAAAAUGGC